UACUUUUUAUUGACUCAGUAAAACUCUUAUAACUAUUACAGACAUCUGAAUAAAACAAAUGUGGGAUUAAGUUUUAAGUGACCUACAGUCAGAUAUCUCUAGUUAAAAAUAAUGCUUACUAAAUGAAAUAUCAAAGUCCAAACACUUCAAGAAAACAAGAACAUUUUUCCCACUAAAUCCAAAAUUUAUAUCUUUAUCGAAAGCUUUGAAACAAAUAAGGCAAUUCAGUACAAUUACAGUUUCAGGGAGCCAACUUAGUUGGUGAAACAAAGAUAAUAGUGUGAGUGAAACAUUACAACACUCAUGGCUAAAGUAAUCUAAAACUGAGCAGUAUUUGCUUAGCUCAGUAAAGGUCACACAAAACAACAAAGUAUCAGGUAAACUCAAAAAAUAAAAAAAGGGUAUGUACUGUGUACAUUAAAUUAUGCCCAACACUGGGUGUCAAAAUGUAACAAAUUAGGAUAGGGAUAUGACAUGUGGGCAUUAUGUAAAUCAAAUAAUAGUGAACACCAAAAAUAAAGUAAAUUGGAAACAGGAUCUGAAAAUGCCAUCGAUUAAAACAUGAGAUGUGAGUUAUUCAUUUGCACUGAAACACAUAUGCUUAAAAGCUCUAAGCUCUCACAGGGAUCAGAGUAGAUACAUAGUUUUAGUUCCAUAUACAAGGUGCGUUCCGUAAGUAAUGUGACCAAAUUCAUAAAAAAAAAUCAUUUAUUGGAUAUAUUCAUACUAAUAGUCAAAAAUUUUCAAAAUAGCACCCUCUUGUGUCAAUACACUUCUGGAGGUGGUGUUUCCAUGCGUGGAAGGCAUCCUGGAAUGCCUUUUCCGGUAUGUCCUUUAGAGCUGAUGUAACGUGCCUGGAUGCUUUCAAUCGUGUCACAAUGUUUUCCUUUCAUGACUCCUUUUAACCGUUGCACCAGAAAAAAAAUUGGUCGCAUUACUUAUGGAACGCACGCUGUAUUUACAUAUAUAGUGAGCAGAAACUCAGAUGUAGGUAACUGCAGAGAACAAAUACAUAGAUAAUUUCUUUUUGACUGUCACAACAGCCUCAAUACAUCUGAAGGAGAACAUUACUCCACAUGCUGUAUUUCAAAUUACAUUGAGGAAUAGUGCGACUCCUGCAAAUUUAUUUCAGUUUAACAGCAUCACUUCUUCAGUGCAAAGAAAAUAACACUCAACAGCAAUGUUACUAAUUUAAGAGUGCUAAGCUACUUCCAGGAUGGCUACUCAAACUUGGAAAAUAAUUUCCUGACAAUUCCAGGUCUGAGGAGGAUGAAUGCAUCAAUACAUUGCUGACAAAGUAAUGCUAAGAGGGAAAGGUGGUGGUAGGGAGGGGGGGGGGGGCGGCGGCGGCAGCUUGGGCGGAGUACCACAAUAAUGACUUUUCCUUUAUCUCAGCUGUACUAUAUACCAGCCAUAAGCAGUUGUUUUACUAAUUUUUAACCACCACAAAUUUAAGUGGAAUAAUAUCAAUGUAAGUAACACUCUUUCAAAUAUUAGGUAUUUUGCAAUUUGCAAAACUGAAUUUCAAUGCUACAUUGGAUCACAGAAUUCCUUGGAAUUUUAUAACAUUCCUGAAAUUCCCCGAGUUUUUCCUGGUAAAAUGCUAUUCUACAUGUACAUAGGUAGUCUGCAAGCCAGCAUAUGGUACACAGCAGAGGGUAGCCUGCACCAGUACUUGCUGUUUCCUUUCCCGUUCCACUCAGAAAUAGAGCCACUGCCAUCUUGUCCUUAGCAGUGUGUAUAAUUAAAACAUUUAAAAAGAGUGCUUUUAAGUGUGAAGUUCGUGGCAACAAAUAUAAUUAUCGGAAAACGGACGGCAUAUUUCCAGAGCAUACCCACAGCAGUCUAACAAAAUGGUUCCUCAUGUUACAAAUAAUGAACCUUCACAUUCCUAUCAGUGCUAGAUAUGUGAAAGAGUUUUACUCGUAAAAGAAGUUUAAAACUCGACCAACAAGACACUCGUGGCAUAAUGAAGCUGGAGAAGAGGUUGAAGUGUAUGACAUAUACAUUUGAAGCAGAGUCAAAAAAGUGUUGGAUUGAUCACUUGCAAGCUACUCUUCAAAUACAUGUGAAAUCUGGAGUUCACUAGUGAAGGUGAAUUUUUGAAGUGGAAAGAGGAAAUUGAACAUACUACACAAUCCAGAUUCGUCAAACACCGUGACAAAGUCUGUCGGCAAUUGCUCAAUCUGUAAGUGUUUGCCAUCAUUCAGGUCAGUUUGUUUCCAAAGGUGAAGGGAUGAGACACCUCAAAAUGGCAGGUAGUAACACAUUUGAUGGAAAGUGCCCUGCAGAGAUGAAAGUCCUCUAUAAGGAUGAAAAUUGCCUUGUCAAUUGUGUGUCCACUCGUGUUGGACAUGAUCUAGACUUAAGUCAUUUGAAUCUGACACCAUAAAAGCAUAGCUGCAGACAUUGCUGUAGCAAUACUGUUUCCCAUUGUUCUUGACAAAAUUUGAUCAACAGUGCAGGAUUCAAAUUCAGAGAGGGUACAUCUCACAAAUUUGCAGGACUUGCAUAACACUGCAGCUUCUUAAAAUUUGGUUUGAAAGUCAGACAGACAUCAAAAUGAUGCCAUCAGCGUCGAAGCUUGGGUACGAGAAAUUAAGGAAAGUGAUAAUCCAUGUGCAUUAUUUUGUAAGCUUCAAAAAAUAAUCACUGACUAACAUCUGGAAUUGACAAGUGAGGAUUUCAUGUUAGUAAUAAUCAACACUGCACAAAGUGAAUUAUUGGCAAAAUGUGGAAAUGAUUGUAUUUGUGUCAAUGGGACAGAUGGUAGAAAUGUCUAUGAUUUACAACUUACCACAAUACUAGUACUGGAUGAUAUGAGGCAAGGAUUUCCAUGCACAUUUCUCAUUUCAACAGAAACGACUGAGGUAUAAAAUAUAUUUUUCAACUAUGUAAAGACUCAGGUGGGACAGAUCUGCCCCAAUCACUUGGAACAGAGCAAUGGGGCAUCCUAAAAAGAUACUUGAACGGCACCUGGCAUGUGGAUAGAGCAUGAAGGAACAACAUUAACAGUAAAGCUCUGCAUAAGGACAAGAGAACUGGGAUGUACAAGCUCGUCAAGACAUUAAUGCAGGUAAGAGAUGUUUCCAUAUUUGAAAAAUCACUGCAAAAAGCACUCUAGAAGCUCUAUAGUGAUCCAGAUACAUCCAAUUUUGUCAUUAUUAUGACCUACUAUGAAAAAAAUGCAAACUGUUGGGCAUAUUGUCACAGGAUGCAAGUUGGACUCAAUACCAACAUGCACCUGGAGAGUAUGCACAAGGCUUUGAAAUAUGUACAUGCUAAUGUGAAGGAAGUGAAAA